AUUGAACGCUGGCGGCAGGCCUAACACAUGCAAGUCGAACGAGUGGCGGACGGGUGAGUAAUGUCUGGGAAACUGCCCGAUGGAGGGGGAUAACUCCUGGAAACGGUAGCUAAUACCGCAUACCCUCGGAUGUGCCCCGAGGGGAUUAGCUCGUAGGGGGGGUAACGGCUCACCUAGUCGACGAUCCCUAGCUGGUCUGAGAGGAUGACCAGCCACACUGGAACUGAGACACGGUCCAGACUCCUACGGGAGGCAGCAGUGGGGAAUAUGGCACAAUGGGCGCAAGCCUGAUGCAGCCAUGCCGCGUGUAUGAAGAAGGCCUUCGGGUUGUAAAGUACUUGCAGCGAGGAGGCGUUACUCGCAGAAGAAGCACCGGCUAACUCCGUGCCAGCAGCCGCGGUAAUAC
rnacentral:rRNA from 1 species